GAGAUGUCCGACGACAAUUCAAUCGGCUGUUGCGUAAUUAUACAUAGUUCUGCCACAACCAUUUUGUUUUUCACAUGAAGUGUUGACUUUAGUUUAUGAUAACACACAACCACACAUUGAUCACUGACUUUUAUGUGCCCUUUAAGUUUGCAACUUUUAUAUGAAUAAUUUAAACUUAACUCUACGAAUAUGAUAUGAUACGAUACACACACACACACAGACCUACAAAAUGAACAUAAUGGAAACUCUAUUAAAAGUAAUUUUGUAAGCUACUUAAAUAUGAAAAAUGCGAGAGGAAAACUAAGCAAAACGAAAGGAAUGAUUAUUGUGAAAAACGUGAUAGUUUAAACCAUAAAGAGUAAUAUUUACUACUAUUAUUAUAUUAAUAAUUAAUUAUACGAUGCAUAUAUAUGGACAUGUAUGUGUAAAACGGAAACCACAAAAAUUUCUAAACUAACGUGAACAAAAAAAGUAAAAAAUUUUUUUAAAAUUUCCAACACAAAAAAAUGUUAAAAACAAUGAGUAGAAAAACUAAAACAAAAAAAUGAAUAAAAAAAAACUUGAAAAAACCAAUAUCUCUGAGUUUCGUAUAAAUGCCUGGCUUGAGAUGGGUAAAUUCUCUGAUAUUCCGAAUAUUUUGGUACGGGAAACUUUCCAAUUUUAGGUAAAACUGGCUUUUCACUUCAAAUGACACAACAAAAGGACUCGAAACACGCCCAAUCGAUUGUCCCUUUGAGUAAUUAACCCCUUCGAGUGUGUGUGCCAUAUUUCACCCGGCGACAAAAUGCAGGCAGGGGCUCCAACUACGAACAUCAUCCCAUGCAGCAGCUGUGAUCUCCAUCCCCGACACAUGUUGUUGGCUUUGCGGAGCAUUGGGUGUCACAGAUUAACGCCUUACGUGAAUUAUGGCCUGGCUCCUGGCUCCAAGCUCCAGAGCAAACUACUCCGCAAAAUCCGGUCGAGCGCGCGGAAAAAUCAUGUAUAAAACAUAAGCGCCAUCCACAAAGGCAUUCACACUUAAGUUUCUUAUGAACUUUACUAUUCAAUGUACAUAAUUCAACCCAAUUGUAUUAAAUUUCUAAAUUCUCACUUAUGUAUCCUUUUAUUUUUUUGUCCAACCAAAAAUUAAGAGCCACAUUAGUUUUAUAAAUGAAAAGUACUUAAAUCGAUUCCAAUACAAUAGACUAUUUUUCCAAGUGCACCGAAUGGGCGCUUGUGCGGCCUUAUGUCGACAAAAGGACAAGACGCAAAGGCACGCAAGGACCUAAGCCGGAGGACGAAGGACCUAGGACCUGGCACCUAGCAAGCGAUAGCCCGGCGAGGCGUUUAAAAAUUGAAAACCAAUUUUGUAGCGAUUUAAAACAGACGAUUGGAGGGGGCAGAAGUUGAGGUCCUGGGGCGCCACGAAAUGAGUGGCGGUGCGAGCCGGCAGAUGGCGUGUGUGUGCCGGCUGCCGGCUGCCGACUGGCAGUGCGACUUUUCGCACCUCAAGCACAAGUCCUGACCCCGACAGAGCUUAGAUUGUGUUACCAAUAUUUAUGGCUCAAUGGGGAUAAGGGCUUUCGGCUGGCGUGACCGCGACCAGGUCUAAUCACACGUGACCCCUUCUCGUGUGGCAGGGGGCGGGGUCACAUAUCGCAUUCAUAUCGAAGCUAAAUUCAAUGGGCGUUUAACGUGAAAGUGGGCUGAAAAAGUCGUGUGCUUCGGAGUUCGGCUGAUUGGAAUACCCGUCAAUGUUGCAAUUUAUUGGCAUUUUCUGUAAUAACCAGUGACUGCUGCUCCAUUCAACAGCUGAAACUUGCCACACAUGCUGACAAGGAACUUUGUAGAAUAUAAUAUGUUAAAGGGUUGUGCUUUAAUAACGCCUGCUGUUCUACAACCCCUUUGGACAAUCUUUAAUCCUUGCUCUGCUACCGGACAACCCACACAAACUGUCACAAGUUGUCGCUAAACAGACCCCUUCCUAUCCACAUACUGCACCAUGAUACGAGUGCAGAUUGCACACAGAGAACCCGCCCACUUUCCACAGGCUGAACAAACAUUCGGCAUGUGAUGGACCAAAGAGUUUGGGGUCCGGGGAAACCACAGGCAUAACAAUUUGCACUUUGGCUUAUCGUAAUUAUUGCCGCGAUCCAUAAAUAUAAUUUUGAGCUUUCAGCAAUUUUAAUACCGAAAUUUUCGCUUUGGUGCGCCGUCUAAUUAGUUCGACCCGGUCGGGGAAUUCCGGAUUUCGUGUGCCGAACCUGUGUCAAAAUUGUAUCACCGCAACAGAAUUGGCCGGAACCCGGAAUAAAACUGGCAUGGCGUGGCCAAAAAAAAAAAUGAUCCCAAUAGUCGAAAUAAUUAAAUAAAAUAUUUCAUAAAAUGGUUUCCGGUUGCACACUAGCGUCGCGUUCCAUCGAAAAACUAAUUAUAUUUUAGGGUUUUCUAUGAUUGGUGGAAUCAACCGAAGCCAUUGACCAUGGUAAAUACAGUACAUGAGCAACAAAUAUAUCAAAUUUAUAGUCUGGCUGUGAAUUUCAACUGGUUUCCUAUGGCGUCGCAUCCUUUGAACGUAUGAAACAUUAAGCAUGUUAAAAAUACGCAUGCCAAAUUGUAGUUGGCCAUUUGUAUUCGCUAUUCAAAAUAUUUACUUGCGUCAAAUUAUUAUUGGCAAUUAAUGCCUGCCUAUCUGGUAUCAAAAAUCAACACCGAUUGAAAUAAUGAUAUAUUUUAGGCAAACCAAUAUUUUCUGCGAUUAAUUUCCAUGUUUCACUUGCCCAAUUAGACGAGUUGUUCGCUUAGGAGGAGGCCGCAAAUUCGAGGAUCUGUGCCGGAAUGCAAUUCCAUUAAUUCAGACUCAACUCCGCUCUGUUUGGGUCUACUCAAACUAUUUGCAUUGCCAUUAUGUAGCCCACGCACUUGCCAGGACCUUAAUGGGUAGGGCUUACACAGCAAUUACAUUUCAUUUGAAAUGCACUACACAAGUAGACCCAGCACCCACUCCCCGGACCUGACAAAUUGUCACAAAGCUGGCCGAGUACCCACCGACCGACAGGGAGACGGAAUCAAAUUAAUGAUAUGAAUUUCUUAUUUAAGGACAUUAACGCAAGGUCUGCCUCCUGCCGACAACGUUGGGCUGAGAUUCGAACAGAGAUGCCAAUGGGAGUACCGAAACAUAUGUGCGUUGGGCUUAUAUAAAGUUUUCUUCAAGAAUAAAUAUAAUAGUAAAAUUA